AUUGAACGCUGGCGGCAGGCUUAACACAUGCAAGUCGAACGAUGAAACUCUAGCUUGCUAGAUAUGAUUAGUGGCGGACGGGUGAGUAACAUUUAGGAAUCUGCCUAGUAGUGGGGGAUAGCUCGGGGAAACUCGAAUUAAUACCGCAUACGACCUACGGGUGAAAGGGGGCGCAAGCUCUUGCUAUUAGAUGAGCCUAAAUCAGAUUAGCUAGUUGGUGGGGUAAAGGCCCACCAAGGCGACGAUCUGUAACUGGUCUGAGAGGAUGAUCAGUCACACCGGAACUGAGACACGGUCCGGACUCCUACGGGAGGCAGCAGUGGGGAAUAUUGGACAAUGGGGGCAACCCUGAUCCAGCCAUGCCGCGUGUGUGAAGAAGGCCUUUUGGUUGUAAAGCACUUUAAGCAGGGAGGAGAGGCUAAUGGUUAAUACCCAUUAGAUUAGACGUUACCUGCAGAAUAAGCACCGGCUAACUCUGUGCCAGCAGCCGCGGUAAUACAGAGGGUGCGAGCGUUAAUCGGAAUUACUGGGCGUAAAGCGAGUGUAGGUGGCUCAUUAAGUCACAUGUGAAAUCCCCGGGCUUAACCUGGGAACUGCAUGUGAUACUGGUGGUGCUAGAAUAUGUGAGAGGGAAGUAGAAUUCCAGGUGUAGCGGUGAAAUGCGUAGAGAUCUGGAGGAAUACCGAUGGCGAAGGCAGCUUCCUGGCAUAAUAUUGACACUGAGAUUCGAAAGCGUGGGUAGCAAACAGGAUUAGAUACCCUGGUAGUCCACGCCGUAAACGAUGUCUACUAGCCGUUGGGGUCCUUGAGACUUUAGUGGCGCAGUUAACGCGAUAAGUAGACCGCCUGGGGAGUACGGCCGCAAGGUUAAAACUCAAAUGAAUUGACGGGGGCCCGCACAAGCGGUGGAGCGUGUGGUUUAAUUCGAUGCAACGCGAAGAACCUUACCUGGUCUUGACAUAGUGAGAAUCCUGCAGAGAUGCGGGAGUGCCUUCGGGAAUUCACAUACAGGUGCUGCAUGGCUGUCGUCAGCUCGUGUCGUGAGAUGUUGGGUUAAGUCCCGCAACGAGCGCAACCCUUUUCCUUAUUUGCCAGCGGGUUAAGCCGGGAACUUUAAGGAUACUGCCAGUGACAAACUGGAGGAAGGCGGGGACGACGUCAAGUCAUCAUGGCCCUUACGACCAGGGCUACACACGUGCUACAAUGGUAGGUACAGAGGGUUGCUACACAGCGAUGUGAUGCUAAUCUCAAAAAGCCUAUCGUAGUCCGGAUUGGAGUCUGCAACUCGACUCCAUGAAGUCGGAAUCACUAGUAAUCGCAGAUCAGAAUGCUGCGGUGAAUACGUUCCCGGGCCU
rnacentral:rRNA from 1 species